rnacentral:rRNA from 1 species
CUACGGAGGAUCCGAGCGUUAUCCGGAUUUAUUGGGUUUAAAGGGAGCGUAGGUGGACAGUUAAGUCAGUUGUGAAAGUUUGCGGCUCAACCGUAGAAUUGCAGUUGAUACUGGCUGUCUUGAGUACAGUAGAGGUGGGCGGAAUUCGUGGUGUAGCGGUGAAAUGCUUAGAUAUCACGAAGAACUCCGAUUGCGAAGGCAGCUCACUGGACUGCAACUGACACUGAUGCUCGAAAGUGUGGGUAUCAAACAGGAUUAGAUACCCUGGUAGUCCACACAGUAAACGAUGAAUACUCGCUGUUUGCGAUAUACAGUAAGCGGCCAAGCGAAAGCAUUAAGUAUUCCACCUGGGGAGUACGCCGGCAACGGUGAAACUUAAAGGAAUUGACGGGG